rnacentral:rRNA from 1 species
GACGAACGCUGGCGGCGUGCUUAACACAUGCAAGUCGAACGGAAAGGCCUGCUUUCCCUUGUGGAUUGCGGGUACUCGAGUGGCGAACGGGUGAGUAACACGUGAGUGAUCUGCCCCCAACUUGGGUAUAAGCCUGGGAAACUGGGUCUAAUUCCCGAUAGGACUGCAGGGUGGUGCCUGUGGUGGAAAACGAUUUUCUAGUGGUUGGGGAUGAGCUCGCGGCCUAUCAGCUUGUUGGUGGGGUAAUGGCCUACCAAGGCGGCGACGGGUAGCCGGCCUGGGAGGGUGGACGGCCACAUUGGGACUGAGAUACGGCCCAGACUCCUACGGGAGGCAGCAGUGGGGAAUAUUGCACAAUGGGCGGAGGCCUGAUGCAGCGACGCCGCGUGGGGGAUGACGGGCUUCGGGUUGUAAACUCCUUUCGACCGCGAGGAAGCCACCUGGUUGGAAGGGUGGUGACGGUAGUGGUAGAAGAAGCACCGGCUAACUACGUG